rnacentral:rRNA from 1 species
UACCAGCUCUCCGAGUGGUGUGGAUGUUUAUUGGGCCUAAAGCAUCCGUAGCUGGCUAAGUUAGUCCCUUGUUAAAUCCACCGAAUUAAUCGUUGGAUUGCGGGGGAUACUGCUUGGCUAGGGGGCGAGAGAGGCAGACGGUAUUUCCGGGGUAGGGGUGAAAUCCUAUAAUCCCGGGAAGACCACCAGUGGCGAAGGCUGUCUGCUAGAACGCGCCCGACGGUGAGGGAUGAAAGCUGGGGGAGCGAACCGG